rnacentral:lncRNA from 1 species
AAGGCUCGCCGCUAUCUUCUUCUGCUUGCUCUGCCUCUGCUGCUCUGCGUCGUCGUCGCGCCCUCUGAAUCUUCUGAUCUCCAACAGCAGCAGCAGCGGCGGCGGCGGCGUCAUCACCCAUCUCCCUGGCUUCCAGGGGCCGCUCCCCUUCCACCUCCAGACAGGGUACUACUCCAUCCAGGCCCCUAGUAUCUAGUAUAUCAUACCAAUUGGUUGUUCAGUUAGUUUCCUGCUCUCCUGCACACGCAUGGCAUGGAUGAUGCAACAAUCAGCUUGAUUUGUGUACGUUCUUCCUGCUGGUCUCUGCCAUAUAUAUUACAGGUAUGUGGAGGUGGACGACAGCAAUGGCGUCCACCUCUUCUACUACUUCGUCGGCUCGGAGCGCAGCCCCGGCGAGGACCCUCUCAUUCUCUGGCUCACAGGCGGCCCUGGAUGCUCCGUCCUCACAGCUCUUGCCUACGAGAUCG